GGAGGAUUCGCCUAGUGGCCUAGGGCGCACGCUUGGAAAGCGUGUUGGGGGCAACCCCUCACGAGUUCGAAUCUCGUAUCCUCCGC
rnacentral:tRNA from 8 species